UGGGGAAUUUUGGACAAUGGGCGAAAGCCUGAUCCAGCAAUGCCGCGUGUGUGAAGAAGGCCUUCGGGUUGUAAAGCACUUUUGUCCGGAAAGAAAUGGCUCUGGUUAAUACCUGGGGUCGAUGACGGUACCGGAAGAAUAAGGACCGGCUAACUACGUGCCAGCAGCCGCGGUAAUACGUAGGGUCCAAGCGUUAAUCGGAAUUACUGGGCGUAAAGCGUGCGCAGGCGGUUGUGCAAGACCGAUGUGAAAUCCCCGAGCUUAACUUGGGAAUUGCAUUGGUGACUGCACGGCUAGAGUGUGUCAGAGGGGGGUAGAAUUCCACGUGUAGCAGUGAAAUGCGUAGAGAUGUGGAGGAAUACCGAUGGCGAAGGCAGCCCCCUGGGAUAACACUGACGCUCAUGCACGAAAGCGUGGGGGCAAACAGG
rnacentral:rRNA from 1 species